rnacentral:rRNA from 1 species
UGUCUCAGUACAAGCCACAUUAAGGUGAAACCGCGAAAGGCUCAUUAAAUCAGUUAUGGUUCCUUAGAUCGUACCCACAUUUACUUGGAUAACUGUGGUAAUUCUAGAGCUAAUACAUGCAAACAGAGUUCCGACCGGAGACGGGAGGAAUGCUUUUAUUAGAUCAAAACCAAUCGGCGGCGGGUGCGUUCGCGCGCCCGUUCGCCGCUCAACCUGGUGACUCUGAAUAACUUUCGGCUGAUCGCACGGUCCAGCACCGGCGACGCAUCUUUCAAAUGUCUGCCUUAUCAACUGUCGAUGGUAGGUUCUGCGCCUACCAUGGUCGUAACGGGUAACGGGGAAUCAGGGUUCGAUUCCGGAGAGGGAGCCUGAGAAACGGCUACCACAUCCAAGGAAGGCAGCAGGCGCGCAAAUUACCCACUCCCGGCACGGGGAGGUAGUGACGAAAAAUAACGAUACGGGACUCAUCCGAGGCCCCGU